rnacentral:rRNA from 1 species
UACGUAGGGUGCGAGCGUUGUCCGGAAUUACUGGGCGUAAAGAGCUCGUAGGUGGUUUGUCGCGUUGUUCGUGAAAACUCACAGCUUAACUGUGGGCGUGCGGGCGAUACGGGGCAGACUGGAGUACUGCAGGGGAGACUGGAAUUCCUGGUGUAGCGGUGGAAUGCGCAGAUAUCAGGAGGAACACCGGUGGCGAAGGCGGGUCUCUGGGCAGUAACUGACGCUGGAGGAGCGAAAGCGUGGGGAGCGAACAGG